GAUGUCUUUCACGGUGCAAUUUAAAAAUUCGUGAGCUAUUUCAUAUCUCAUUCUCGAAAUUUCAUAUCUUUUGUCGUUUCAAAUUCCAAAUCCAUUCAACUUACAAUAAAAAUUACAAAUCACUUCAAUAAGCACAAUAAGAUUUGUAAAUCUCUAUUAAUGUCUAUAAUUUUUAUUCGUUUCUACUCUAUUCUACCUCUUACUUGAGUGUUAGUGUUUGUAAA
rnacentral:lncRNA from 1 species